ACGUUUAAAGCGAGUCUCUGAAAGUGUUUGAAUGGAGGACUAGUACUGGUCGAGACGCAUGCUGUUGACUGUGUUGUGGGAGUAUCCUGUCAUUUUGUAAUUGUAUGUCGCUCAGCAUUUGACCGAGUGUUUCAGUACAUGGUGAGCCACAUUUGCAUUCAGAGGAACAUCCGCCGUCGCUCCAGGUCACGUCGUAAAAUGGUGAAAGGAAAGAGAAGAACUAACCGCAACAGCAAAGAUGAAAAUGCCGUAAUUGGUCAGUUGGAUGGACCCAAGGGACCAAAAGACUCCAGGUUAGAGACAAGAAUAGUGAAUGGUUCCAUCGUAGGAAACAAGAUGUCUUCUGGAGCUACCCACACUGACAGCAAGAUUACCAACUAUUUUUCUCCCUCAAGAUCUCCUCCAGUUGCUGAUGAUGCAGAAACAGAAGGUGCCACUGUACUUGAAGGGGAGUGUGGGAAAGAUCCUGAGCUUAGCGAUGCCCAGCUCAGUCGCCCCCUCCCACCUUCUGGCUCCACCAUUCAAACCAAGGUUGUGGUCAUUAAUGGUCACAUUGGAACAGCACAAACUAAACCUCUGCCAAAUGCAGCUCCUAAGCGGACUGUUUGCACACGAAGCCAGGCACUAAAGGAAUUGCAGCUUCAGUCAUCCACUGCUGCUCUUAGUAAUGGUGUUAAAUCCUCCAACUCUUCAAGUAGUAACUUAUCCUCUCAAUGUUCUGUUAGUAUUGCCACACCCUCUGCCAGUUCUGAAAUGCCUACAACAGUGUCAACCCCCACCACUCCUACCUCAUCCACUUCACUGGCAACAGAUGAUUGCUCUAGCCCUCAUACAGGACCACCAACUCCCCACAAAAUCCAGGCCCUAAAUGAGGAAAAAUUACGGCUUGACUCACCACUUUCACCCACCUCAGCUCUUUCAAAACUCAAGUUGUCACUCACGCCAAAGAAACUUAAGUUCAAUGAUAAAACAACCAAGACAAGAAGAAAGCUUCCUACGCAAAAUGUUACCCGAGGAACUUCACAGCCCAAGACAGAAAAAGUAUCAAAAGUAAAUAGCCCAGCACAAAUGUCAAAUGGGGAAACUAAGCCCACUCAACGAAAUACUCAGAUGAGUGAAUUCUUUCCCAUACGUAGAUCAGAACGAAAGCCAAAGACAACACUUUUACAAGAACGUCAAAAGGAAAUUGAAGAAAGGAUAUGUAGUGGCAAAGAAGAAGGUUUGAUGGUAAAGCACUUUGGAGCCAAAGGACGUGGGGUGGUAACUACAAGGAAGUUCAAGAAGGGAGAAUUUGUUGUUGAGUAUAUUGGAGAUCUUAUUGAUGUAAGGGAAGCAAAAGAAAGAGAGUCAAGAUAUGCACAAGAUGCCACUAAAGGUUGCUACAACUAUUAUUUUACUUUCCAAAAUCAGCAAUAUUGAUAUUGGAGAGGGGAGAUGAUAGAAAUGGAGGUUUAAGACAAGGUAAAAGAAGGAAAAUGAAAGGAAAGAACAGGAGGAAGGAACAGGCAGAUGAUAGUAUUGAUGCCACAGCUGAGAGUGGAUUUUUAGGAAGGUUGGUGAAUCACAGCCGCAAUGGUAAUCUUGUUACAAAAGCAGUGGAAGUCAACGGCAGACCUCACUUAAUCCUUUUAGCAAAACAAGAUCUAGACCUUGGAACAGAGAUCCUUUAUGAUUAUGGAGAUCGCUCUAAAGAGGCCUUGGAACAUCAUCCAUG
rnacentral:misc_RNA from 1 species